rnacentral:rRNA from 1 species
UACGAAGGGGGCUAGCGUUGUUCGGAUUUACUGGGCGUAAAGCGCACGUAGGCGGAUCGAUCAGUCAGGGGUGAAAUCCCAGAGCUCAACUCUGGAACUGCCUUUGAUACUGUCGAUCUGGAGUAUGGAAGAGGUGAGUGGAAUUCCGAGUGUAGAGGUGAAAUUCGUAGAUAUUCGGAGGAACACCAGUGGCGAAGGCGGGACUCUGGGCAACAACUGACGCUGAGGAGCGAAAGCGUGGGGAGCGAACAGG